rnacentral:tRNA from 1 species
UGGCAUAGUGGUUAAGAGCUUGGCUGCUAACCAAAAGGUUGGCGGUUCAAAUCCGCC